AAUUCGUUUUUUUGGUAUUUUCACACAGCCAAAACCAGCAGCUGUUCAAUAUGGAAGACAAACCGCAGUCCAGGAAAAGGUCAAAUUAGCCCAAGGUCAGACAAACUUCAUAGAAACUACACAAAUGUCUGUGCAUCAAUUGUUAUUGUCAGCGAGUCUGAGCCAGAAAAACACAUGGAGCACACUGCAGAACAACGCACAGAGGAUUUGACUGCUGCAGAUAUUGUAUAAGAACUCUCAGCAAAGAUAAUAAAAACAUCUUGCAGCAGGUUCAAUAUAAAUAGAGCCAAUG